rnacentral:rRNA from 1 species
CAACCUGCCUCAAAGACCGGGACAACACUCCGAAAGGGGUGCUAAUACCGGAUGUGGCCAUUUCGGGACAUCCUGAGAUGAUUAAAACGCGCUGGCAACAGUGGCGGCUUUGAGAGGGGCUUGCGGCCUAUCAGCUAGAUGGUGGGGUAACGGCCUACCAUGGCGACGACGGGUAGCUGGUCUGAGAGGACGGCCAGCCGGACUGGGACUGAGAUACGGCCCAG